rnacentral:rRNA from 1 species
AAGAAUUUAAAGGUCGAACAGACCUAUAUAUUAAGCGGCUACACCUAAUUAUUAUCUUAAUCCAACAUCGAGGUCGCAAGCCCUCCUGUAAAUAUGAACUCUGGAGGAGGAUUACGCUGUUAUCCCUAAGGUAACUUGUUCUAAUAAUCACUAAUAGUGGAUCUAAAAAUCAUAUAUCAAUGGUAAAUAAAUGAAAAAGUUAAUUAUAUAUUUUUGUCACCCCAACAAAAUACAAUUUUAUUAUACUCAUAUUAAUAUAUAAGUAAAUAUAAAAAAUUAUAUAAAGAUCUAUAGGGUCUUCUCGUCUUCCAAUAAUAUUUUAGCUUUUUAACUAAAAAAUUAAGUUUUAAAACAAAUAAAAUGAGACAGUCAGUUCCUCGUUAAACCGUUCAUUCCAGCCCUCUAUUAAAAGACUAAUGAUUAUGCUACCUUUGCACGGUCAGUAUACCGCGGCCGUUAAAUUUAUCACUGGGCAGGUCAGACCUUAAAU